rnacentral:rRNA from 1 species
AGGGAAUCUUCCGCAAUGGGCGAAAGCCUGACGGAGCAACGCCGCGUGAGUGAUGAAGGUCUUCGGAUCGUAAAACUCUGUUAUUAGGGAAGAACAUAUGUGUAAGUAACUGUGCACAUCUUGACGGUACCUAAUCAGAAAGCCACGGCUAACUACGUGCCAGCAGCCGCGGUAAUACGUAGGUGGCAAGCGUUAUCCGGAAUUAUUGGGCGUAAAGCGCGCGUAGGCGGUUUUUUAAGUCUGAUGUGAAAGCCCACGGCUCAACCGUGGAGGGUCAUUGGAAACUGGAAAACUUGAGUGCAGAAGAGGAAAGUGGAAUUCCAUGUGUAGCGGUGAAAUGCGCAGAGAUAUGGAGGAACACCAGUGGCGAAGGCGACUUUCUGGUCUGUAACUGACGCUGAUGUGCGAAAGCGUGGGGAUCAAACAGGAUUAGAUACCCUGGUAGUCCACGCCGUAAACGAUGAGUGCUAAGUGUUAGGGGGUUUCCGCCCCUUAGUGCUGCAGCUAACGCAUUAAGCACUCCGCCUGGGGAGUACGACCGCAAGGUUG